rnacentral:rRNA from 1 species
UACGGAGGAUCCAAGCGUUAUCCGGAUUUAUUGGGUUUAAAGGGUGCGUAGGCGGCUUUUUAAGUCAGGGGUGAAAGACGGUGGCUCAACCAUCGCAGUGCCUUUGAUACUGAGAAGCUUGAUUAAACUUGAGGCAGGCGGAAUGUGACAAGUAGCGGUGAAAUGCAUAGAUAUGUCACAGAACACCGAUUGCGAAGGCAGCUUUACUAAGGUUUUAAUGACGCUGAGGCACGAAAGCGUGGGGAUCAAACAGG